UACGUAGGUGGCUAGCGUUGUCCGGAUUUACUGGGCGUAAAGAGCGCGCAGGCGGUCGUUCAAGUCGAGUGUGAAAGCCCCCGGCUCAACUGGGGAGGGUCACUCGAUACUGAUCGACUUGAAGGCGGGAGAGGGAAGCGGAAUUCCCGGUGUAGUGGUGAAAUGCGUAGAUAUCUGGAGGAAUACCGGUGGCGAAGGCGGCAUCCUGGACCGACAUUGACGCUGAGGAGCGAAAGCUAGGGGAGCAAACGGG
rnacentral:rRNA from 1 species